rnacentral:lncRNA from 1 species
UUCAGACAAAUUCCAUCACAUCACUCCAUAAGUGUUCAUUGAAUAAAUGAAUCCAUAACAAGAGUACUUAUGGCUAACGUUUUUACAGUUUUGGAGGAUGGGAGAGAUGGGAAAGAUGAAAUUGUCAUUGAUAUUCCAAAAAAGGAGAUAUAAACAUGACCAUAAAAGACAUGAAAAGAUGUUUAACCCCAUUAGUCAUCGUGGAAAUGCAAAUGAAAACCACCAUACAGACACUAGAGUGGUUUAAAUUUGAAUGACUUCCAACACCAAAUGCCAGACAGGACAUAGAGCAACUGGAUGUCUCAUGCUCACAGGCAGAAGGGAAAACUACUGUGUGUGACAGGAAGAUGGACUUACCCAACCUUCAGCAUUCUCAAUCUCUUGUCUAUUAACAUGUGUUUGAAACAUUAUGCAUUCAAAGCAAACAUCUGGGAGGAAGAUGGGAGAAGCCUUCUUGCCCCUGUUCUACAGAAGUAAUUGAAGUUCAUGACAUUCAAGCUCAUUCACCAGUAAAUGAAUUUGGGUCAUGCUUUAUGUCUGUUGUAAAUACAGUGAAAAUUUGCCUCUGUUCCUGAA